rnacentral:tRNA from 1 species
UGCCCCGUCGUCUAAUGGUAAGACAGCGGACUCUGACUCCGUCAAUCGAGGUUCGAAUCCUCGCGGGGCAUCCA